CAACUCCGCUUGAUCCUGGCGGACCCAACUGCUAUCGGGAUGAGACUAAGCCAUGCGAGUCAAACGCUUCCAGGCCAAUGUGGGAGCGUGGCAUACGGCUCAGUAACACGUGGCUAACCUACCCUCCGGACUGGGACAACUUCGGGAAACUGAGGCUAAUCCCGGAUAGACGAAGAGGCCUGGAAUGGUUCUCCGUCUAAAGGGCAUCAGGGCCAUGCUUCCUGAUGUCGCCAGAGGAUGGGGCCGCGACCGAUCAGGUUGUUGGUGAGGUAACGGCUCACCAAGCCUAUAACCGGUACGGGCCGUGAGAGCGGGAGCCCGGAGAUGGGCACUGAGACAAGGGCCCAGGCCCUACGGGGCGCAGCAGGCGCGAAACCUCUGCAAUGCGCGAAAGCGUGACAGGGUCAUCCCGAGUGCCAUCCGCUGAGGAAGGCUUUUGUCCGGUCUAACCAGCCGGAAGAAUAAGGGGAGGGCAAGUCUGGUGUCAGCCGCCGCGGUAAUACCAGCUCCUCGAGUGGUUGGGA
rnacentral:rRNA from 1 species